CAAUGAAAUAACAUGAUUUUUUUUGGGGUCUUUGCCAGAAUUUGGAUUCCAAAAUUCACCACAACAACCUCCUCAACAACAUACUAGCGAAGAUAGAAGCGAAUAAUGCAAAUGCUGAUGAUGCCAUAAUGCUUGAUAAGGAAGGUUAUGUGUCUGAAACAAAUGCUACAAACAUUUUCUUAGUGAAGAGAGGCCAUGUUGCGACACCUCAUGUUGAUAGCUGUCUUCCUGGCGUAACUCGAGCAACUGUAAGUUUCUUGAACUCCCCUCCUUAAAAUGCACUUUUGUUCUGCGUGAUGAUUAAAAAGCUUCUUUGUUUCCAUCUUUGUGUUUUCUUGCCAUGAGUGUUGACCUUCUGUUAGAGAGUUGAAAUCCUCCAGCAGUACAAUUUUGGGUGCCUCUUUGAACUGAAUGCAUGUCAGUUAGCCUUUUAACUCUUCAUGAGCUAAUCCCAUUGAAAAGAUUUCAAUAUCAAGUUUGUGUCUAUUUGGAGCCAAACCAAACGCAUUCUAAGUUCAAACCCUUUUCCAUGUAUAAAUCCAAAUAUGUGUUCUUCCAUCGUAUGAAACGAGAUACGAGUUGUGCAUAGAAGUAUCAUCUUCUCCGUUCUUUUGUU